rnacentral:rRNA from 1 species
GAACGCGUCUCCGUUAAUGAUUUUAGGUGCUUGCACUUGAAAGAUUUAACAUUGAGACGAGUGGCGAACUGGUGAGUAACACGUGGGUAACCUGCCCUUGAAGUAGGGGAUAACACUUGGAAACAGGUGCUAAUACCGUAUAACAACCAAAACCACCUGGUUUUGGUUUAAAAGACGGCUUCGGCUGUCACUUUAGGAUGGACCCGCGGCGUAUUAGCUUGUUGGUAAGGUAACGGCUUACCAAGGCGAUGAUACGUAGCCGACCUGAGAGGGUAAUCGGCCACAUUGGGACUGAGACACGGCCCAAACUCCUACGGGAGGCAGCAGUAGGGAAUCUUCCACAAUGGACGAAAGUCUGAUGGAGCAACGCCGCGUGAGUGAUGAAGGGUUUCGGCUCGUAAAACUCUGUUGUUGGAGAAGAACAGGUGUCAGAGUAACUGUUGACAUCUUGACGGUAUCCAACCAGAAAGCCACGGCUAACUACGUGCCAGCAGCCGCGGUAAUACGUAGGUGGCAAGCGUUGUCCGGAUUUAUUGGGCGUAAAGCGAGCGCAGGCGGUUUUUUAGGUCUGAUGUGAAAGCCUUCGGCUUAACCGGAGAAGUGCAUCGGAAACCGGGAGACUUGAGUGCAGAAGAGGACAGUGGAACUCCAUGUGUAGCGGUGAAAUGCGUAGAUAUAUGGAAGAACACCAGUGGCGAAGGCGGCUGUCUGGUCUGUAACUGACGCUGAGGCUCGAAAGCAUGGGUAGCGAACAGGAUUAGAUACCCUGGUAGUCCAUGCCGUAAACGAUGAGUGCUAAGUGUUGGAG